CCCUUUAAAGGGACAGCAGAGCCGAUUGGCCUGGAGAAGAGCGGGAGGCAGUGAAGGAGCCUUCCCCGGGGAGGGGACACAGGUCCAGUUGGCAGCAGUGGUGGUGGUGGGGGGGGGUUGUCCUGGCAGGUAGCUGUCCUCCGGAGCUGGGUGAGCAGUCCCUGGCUCCCUCCACCCCCGUGGUCCCCCCCCCCCCCAGGUGGAGGGGGUUUCCUGCUUGCUCCCGGGGAGAGAGGCCUGUGAUUCCCCCAAAUCUGACUGCAGGGUGGGAACCCCCGGGCACUCGGCGACCUUGCUGUUUGUCUGGCCGGGAGCCCUGCCUGAGCUCUGGCCCCGGAGGCCAGCAGACAGAGCCGUGCAGGCCACCCUUUUCGUCCUAAUUCCCAUCAUCGACCUUCUGCAGAUCCCGGAGCAUGCUCAGCGGCCUCCCAGGCGGUGCCUCCUGCCACCUGGAAUGCACAUUCCCGGCUUCCUGUGGCUCUGUCUCCUCUGUUGCCCCCCCCUGCCCCCCCCCAGCCACCGGGUCAGAGCAGCUGGCUACUUCCUCUGCAGCAUGCAUAACACCCCGCAGCUCUGUCCAGCUUGCUUGGGGCUUCACUGGCUCCCCCUGCUAAAGAUUCUCAGCCCCAUGAGGGCAGGGACCCCGCCUGCCUUGCUCACAGCACCAGGCCUGGCAUGGAGCAGGUUGUUGAAUGAAUGAGCGAACGGGUGGAUGGCCAGCAGCAGUCCUCAGGGGCGCCCUCCCUGUCAGAUGGGGCACUAGGGGACAGAGGAACCCACGUGGAAGACAGGCCAAGGUUACUUGUGGACACCCCUGAGUCCAAGGGCUCCUGCAGGGGAAGGUCUCAGUUUGGGGCCUUAGUGAAACCCAAGAAGAAUUUCCCUGUUUUCCCUUCGCGUGACUCAUACUUAAGCUGUGAAGUUCCCCUUUUUGUCAGCACCUCUCCAGGGGCUACAGAGUGCUUCCAUUCACCAAAACAGGACCUGCCCCAUGCCUGUGUCCUGUCUGGGUCUGGGGCCCCCAGCCGUGCCCAGCAUUGGCAGGGAUCUCAAGAGGUAGCUCACUGCAGGACACAUUUAUUUGGCAUUCGUCUCCCAUGGAGAAGCUGCCCAUGUCAGGCCUGGAAGAUUGGAGACCCUGGACGAUGUGGGUAGAAGUGAAUCAAGAGGCCUGUGUGAACGCGGCCAGCUCCUUGCUUCUCGGGACCUUCUCUGCUUCCCUGGAAGGGAGGCAGGUGGCACGGUGGUUAGGAGCUUGGGCUCUGGGCUCAGGCUGCCCCUCUCUGGCUGCGUGUCCUUGGAAAACUGCUUUGCACCUCAUUGCGCGCAUCUGUAAAAUAGGGAUCCUUGUAGUAAUAAAAUGAGCUAAUACAUGUAGGCUGAUCUAAGA
rnacentral:lncRNA from 12 species